rnacentral:rRNA from 1 species
UACAGAGGAUGCAAGCGUUAUCCGGAAUGAUUGGGCGUAAAGCGUCUGUAGGUGGCUUUUUAAGUCCGCCGUCAAAUCCCAGGGCUCAACUCUGGACAGGCGGUGGAAACUAGCAAGCUGGAGUACGGUAGGGGCGGAGGGAAUUUCCGGUGGAGCGGUGAAAUGCGUAGAGAUCGGAAAGAACACCAACGGCGAAAGCGCUCUGCUGGGCCGACACUGACACUGAGAGACGAAAGCGAGGGGAGCGAAUGGG